UUGACGCACGGCUGCUGGGAGGCCUCGGCGCACCCAGCAACCCUUUGUGACUUAUACCUUUUGUUGCCUCGGCGCAUGCUGGUCUCCAGUAGGCCCCUCACCCCGGUGAGGAGACGGCACGCCGGCGGCCAAGUUAACUCUUGUCUUUACACUGAAACUCUGAGAAAAAACACAAAUGAAUCAAAACUUUCAACAACGGAUCUCUUGGUUCUGGCAUCGAUGAAGAACGCAGCGAAAUGCGAUAAGUAAUGUGAAUUGCAGAAUUCAGUGAAUCAUCGAAUCUUUGAACGCACAUUGCGCCCUCUGGUAUUCCGGAGGGCAUGCCUGUUCGAGCGUCAUUUCAACCCUCAAGCAUUGCUUGGUGUUGGGGCACUGCUUUUUACCAAGCAGGCCCUGAAAUCUAGUGGCGAGCUCGCCAGGACCCCGAGCGCAGUAGUUAAACCCUCGCUCUGGAAGGCCCUGGCGGCGCCCUGCCGUUAAACCCCCAACUUUUGAAAAUUUGACCUCGGAUCAGGUAGGAAUACCCGCUGAACUUAAGCAUAUCAAUAAGCGGAGGAA
rnacentral:rRNA from 1 species